rnacentral:rRNA from 1 species
UACGUAGGGAGCAAGCGUUGUUCGGAUUUACUGGGCGUAAAGGGCGCGUAGGCGGCGCGGUAAGUCACUUGUGAAAUCUCUGAGCUUAACUCAGAACGGGCAAGUGAUACUGCAGUGCUAGAGUGCAGAAGGGGCAAUCGGAAUUCUUGGUGUAGCGGUGAAAUGCGUAGAUAUCAGGAGGAACACCAACGGCGAAGGCAGCUCGCUAGGACGGUACUGACGCUGAGGCGCGAAAGCGUGGGGAGCAAACAGG